rnacentral:rRNA from 1 species
AAUGAACGUUGGCGGCAUGGAUUAGGCAUGCAAGUCGAGCGAGAAAGGUUUUGAAGCUUGCUUUAGAACCUGGACAGCGGCGAAAGGGAGAGUAACGCGUAGUUACCUGCCCCAGGGUCCGGAAUAGCCACGGGAAACUGUGGGUAAUGCCGGAUAAUAUCCCCGGAUCAAAGGUGUGAUUCCGCCCUGGGAGGGGACUGCGUCCUACUAGCUAGUUGGGGGGGUAAUGGCCCACCAAGGCAACGAUGGGUAGCGGGUGUGAGAGCAUGACCCGUCUCACUGGGACUGAGACACUGCCCAGACACCUACGGGUGGCUGCAGUCGAGAAUCUUCGGCAAUGAGCGCAAGCUUGACCGAGCGAUGCCGCGUGCGGGAUGAAGGCCCUCGGGUUGUAAACCGCUGUCGUAGGGGAGGAAAUCUGACGAGGGCUCUCCCUCGUAGUUGACCUAUCCUAGGAGGAAGUACGGGCUAAGUACGUGCCAGCCGCCGCCGUAACAC